UACAGAGGGUGCAAGCGUUGUUCGGAAUUACUGGGCGUAAAGCGCGUGUAGGUGGUGGCAUAAGUCGGAUGUGAAAGCCCUGGGCUUAACCUAGGAAGUGCAUUCGAAACUGCUGGGCUUGAGUUCUGGAGAGGAAGGCGGAAUUCUCGGUGUAGAGGUGAAAUUCGUAGAUAUUCGGAAGAACACCAGUGGCGAAGGCGGCUCACUGGACUGGUAUUGACGCUGAGGUGCGAAAGCGUGGGGAGCAAACAGG
rnacentral:rRNA from 1 species